CAGUAGCCGCGGUAAUACAGAGGGUGCGAGCGUUAAUCGGAUUUACUGGGCGUAAAGCGUGCGUAGGCGGCUUCUUAAGUCGGAUGUGAAAUCCCUGAGCUUAACUUGGGAAUUGCAUUCGAUACUGGUUAGCUAGAGUGUGGGAGAGGAUGGUAGAAUUCCAGGUGUAGCGGUGAAAUGCGUAGAGAUCUGGAGGAAUACCGAUGGCGAAGGCAGCCAUCUGGCCUAACACUGACGCUGAGGUACGAAAGCAUGGGGAGCAAACAGGAUUAGAUACCCCCGUAGUCCCUGUCUCUUAUAC
rnacentral:rRNA from 1 species